GCUUGAUAGCUUAAUUAAAGUAAAGCCCCGACCUUGUAAGCCGGAGACUGUAGCUUAAACCCUACUCAAAACU